AAAUGAAAAUAUUGUUCAGGUGCUCGUCGAGCUUAAUAGGGAACCCCGUUAAAUUCGGGGACGGGCCCGCCGCUGUGACCUCGCCCUUUUCUUAUUCAAGAUAAGGGAACCUUUUUUGCAUUUUUACGCCACUAUCCGACACUCAACUCCUUAGGGUAGAGAAUCGGCAUAUCGUCAGAAAGAAUUGCGACAGAUGCCGUAGCAAACACAAUAGCAUUUAUAGUUGAGUUCUGGAUGGGAAGGCUGCACAAAAGGCGGGGAAGUCAGAAGACCUGCUUGAACAAAAGGCGUAAC
rnacentral:ncRNA from 2 species